GAGCGCGGGAAGCGAGCGGAUCCCCUUCGGGGGUGAUGCUCGUGGAACGAGCGGCGGACGGGUGAGUAACACGUGGGCAACCUGCCUGUAAGACCGGAAUAACCCCGGGAAACCGGGGCUAAUGCCGGGUAACACUUUCCUCCGCAUGGAGGAGAGUUGAAAGAUGGCUUCUAGCUAUCACUUACAGAUGGGCCCGCGGCGCAUUAGCUAGUUGGUGAGGUAACGGCUCACCAAGGCGACGAUGCGUAGCCGACCUGAGAGGGUGAUCGGCCACACUGGGACUGAGACACGGCCCAGACUCCUACGGGAGGCAGCAGUAGGGAAUCUUCCGCAAUGGACGAAAGUCUGACGGAGCAACGCCGCGUGAACGAUGAAGGUCUUCGGAUCGUAAAGUUCUGUUGUUAGGGAAGAACAAGUACCGUGCGAAUAGAGCGGUACCUUGACGGUACCUAACGAGGAAGCCCCGGCUAACUACGUGCCAGCAGCCGCGGUAAUACGUAGGGGGCAAGCGUUGUCCGGAAUUAUUGGGCGUAAAGCGCGCGCAGGCGGUUCCUUAAGUCUGAUGUGAAAGCCCACGGCUCAACCGUGGAGGGUCAUUGGAAACUGGGGAACUUGAGGACAGAAGAGGAGAGUGGAAUUCCACGUGUAGCGGUGAAAUGCGUAGAUAUGUGGAGGAACACCAGUGGCGAAGGCGACUCUC
rnacentral:rRNA from 1 species